rnacentral:rRNA from 1 species
AACGAACGCUGGCGGCGCGCUUAAUACAUGCAAGUCGAACGAGAAGGUGUAGCAAUACACUUGUAAAGUGGCGAACGGGUGAGGAAUACAUGGGUAACCUACCCUCGAGUGGGGAACAACCAGCCGAAAGGUUGGCUAAUACCGCGUACGCUUCCGGGUCUUCGGAUUCGGAAGGAAAGUCAUACCGUGGGUAUGACGCUCAAGGAUGGGCUCAUGUCCUAUCAGCUUGUUGGUGGGGUAACGGCCACCAAGGCUCCGACGGGUAGCUGGUCUGAGAGGACGAUCAGCCACACUGGCACUGCGACACGGGCCAGACUCCUACGGGAGGCAGCAGUAAGGAAUAUUGCGCAAUGGGCGAAAGCCUGACGCAGCGACGCCGC